rnacentral:rRNA from 1 species
AUUGAACGCUGGCGGCAGGCCUAACACAUGCAAGUCGAGCGCGCGCGGGACGCGUGUGUAAAGUCUGGGGAAAUGCCCCAUGGAGGGGGAUAACUCCUGGAAACGGUAGCUCAUACCGCAUACCAUCAGAUGUGCCCCGAUGGGAUUAGCUCGUGGGUGUGGUAACGGCUCACCUAGGCGACGAUCCCUAGCUGGGCUGAGAGGAUGACAAGCCACACGGGAACUGAGACACGGUCCAGACUCCUACGGGAGGCAGCAGUGGGGAAGAUUGCACAAUGGGCGCAAGCCUGAUGCAGCCAUGCCGCGUGUAUGAAGAAGGCCUUCGGGUUGUAAAGCACUUUCAGCGGGGAGGCGUUACCCGCAGAAGAAGCACCGGCUAACUCCGUGCCAGCAGCCGCGGUAAUAC